rnacentral:lncRNA from 1 species
ACAUGCAUGUUGUGGGCGGGGAUGUGGAUAAUUUGAAGAAUUAAGGAACUUAUUCGAUACUAAACGAAUAUAAUUUUGAAUAAAAUAUAAAAAGUAAAAAUUCGACUAAUUGAAUUUGGGUAUAAAUUUUAUCUCUAGCUGGUUGGAACUUGAAUUCCAAUAUGACCCGAACCCAAAUUAAUUUAUAUAUAUUAAAUGAUUAAUGUUAUUUUUGAGUUUGUAUUUUAAAACUUUAGAUUUAAUAUAAGAUAUUGUUUUGAAAUUAACAGGAUAAAGAGAAAUAAUUAUUUCGAAUUCAUAUUUUUAUGUUUAGAUUUAGUUUUAGGAUUACUGGCCAGAUUCGGAUUAGGAUAUGGAUUUUUAAAAUCUAUUGAAUUAGGAUUUCGAUUCGGAGUUUGUGUUUGGUAGUUGGGUUUGGAUAGAGGUUUUUGAAAACCCGCCCUGAAUUGA